rnacentral:rRNA from 2 species
CUCGUAGUUGGAUUUCUGGCAGGAGCGACCGGUCACACACUCUGUGUGUGAACUUGUGUUGUCUCUGGCCAUCCUUGGGAAGAUCCUGUUUGGCAUUAAGUUGUCGGGCAGGGGAUACCCAUCGUUUACUGUGAAAAAAUUAGAGUGUUUAAAGCAGGCUUAUGCCGUUGAAUAUAUUAGCAUGGAAUAAUAAGAUAGGACUUCGGAACUAUUUUGUUGGUUUGCGUUACGAAGUAAUGAUUAAUAGGGACAGUUGGGGGUAUUCGUAUUUCGUUGUCAGAGGUGAAAUUCUUGGAUUUCCGAAAGACGAACUACUGCGAAAGCAUUUACCAA